rnacentral:rRNA from 1 species
GAUGAACGCUAGCGGCAGGCCUAAUACAUGCAAGUCGAGCGGCAAGUUGAGAAGCAAUUCGAGACUUAGAGCGGCGUACGGGUGCGUAACGCGUACGCAACCUACCUCAUACAGGGGGAUAGCCCGGAGAAAUCUGGAUUAAUACCCCAUAGUACAUAUAGAGGGCAUCUGAAAUAUGUUAAAGAUUCAUCGGUAUGAGAUGGGCAUGCGUCUGAUUAGCUAGUUGGCGGUGUAACGGACCACCAAGGCGACGAUCAGUAGGGGUUCUGAGAGGAAGGUCCCCCACAACGGAACCGCAAUACGGCCAAGACUCCUAAGGGAGGCAGCAGUAGGGAAUAUUGGGCAAGGGUCGGAAGACUGACCCAGCCAUGCCGCGUGCAGGAAGAAGGCCCUCUGGGUUGUAGACUGCUUUUAUCUGGGAAGAAAAGGCCCGUGCGCGGGACAUUGCCGGUACCAGAUGAAUAAGCACCGGCUAACUCCGUGCCAGCAGCCGCCGCGG